GGCUCAGAUUGAACGCUGGCGGCAGGCCUAACACAUGCAAGUCGAGCGGUAACAGAAAGUAGCUUGCUACUUUGCUGACGAGCGGCGGACGGGUGAGUAAUGCUUGGGAACAUGCCUUGAGGUGGGGGACAACAGUUGGAAACGACUGCUAAUACCGCAUAAUGUCUACGGACCAAAGGGGGCUUCGGCUCUCGCCUUUAGAUUGGCCCAAGUGGGAUUAGCUAGUUGGUGAGGUAAUGGCUCACCAAGGCGACGAUCCCUAGCUGGUUUGAGAGGAUGAUCAGCCACACUGGGACUGAGACACGGCCCAGACUCCUACGGGAGGCAGCAGUGGGGAAUAUUGCACAAUGGGCGCAAGCCUGAUGCAGCCAUGCCGCGUGUGUGAAGAAGGCCUUCGGGUUGUAAAGCACUUUCAGUCAGGAGGAAAGCGUGGUGGUUAAUACCCAUCAUGUGUGACGUUACUGACAGAAGAAGCACCGGCUAACUCCGUGCCAGCAGCCGCGGUAAUACGGAGGGUGCGAGCGUUAAUCGGAAUUACUGGGCGUAAAGCGUACGCAGGCGGUUUGUUAAGCGAGAUGUGAAAGCCCCGGGCUCAACCUGGGAACUGCAUUUCGAACUGGCAAACUAGAGUGUGAUAGAGGGUGGUAGAAUUUCAGGUGUAGCGGUGAAAUGCGUAGAGAUCUGAAGGAAUACCGAUGGCGAAGGCAGCCACCUGGGUCAACACUGACGCUCAUGUACGAAAGCGUGGGGAGCAAACGGGAUUAGAUACCCCGGUAGUCCACGCCGUAAACGAUGUCUACUAGAAGCUCGGAGCCUCGGUUCUGUUUUUCAAAGCUAACGCAUUAAGU
rnacentral:rRNA from 1 species